rnacentral:rRNA from 2 species
AGACCCGAAACCCGGUGAUCUAGCCAUGGGCAGGUUGAAGGUUGGGUAACACUAACUGGAGGACCGAACCGACUAAUGUUGAAAAAUUAGCGGAUGACCUGUGGCUGGGGGUGAAAGGCCAAUCAAACCGGGAGAUAGCUGGUUCUCCCCGAAAGCUAUUUAGGUAGCGCCUCGUGAAUUCAUCUCCGGGGGUAGAGCACUGUUUCGGCUAGGGGGCCAUCCCGGCUUACCAACCCGAUGCAAACUGCGAAUACCGGAGAAUGUUAUCACGGGAGACACACGGCGGGUGCUAACGUCCGUCGUGAAGAGGGAAACAACCCAGACCGCCAGCUAAGGUCCCAAAGUCAUGGUUAAGUGGGAAACGAUGUGGGAAGGCCCAGACAGCCAGGAUGUUGGCUUAGAAGCAGCCAUCAUUUAAAGAAAGCGUAAUAGCUCACUGGUCGAGUCGGCCUGCGCGGAAGAUGUAACGGGGCUAAACCAUGCACCGAAGCUGCGGCAGCGACACUCAGGUGUUGUUGGGUAGGGGAGCGUUCUGUAAGCCUGCGAAGGUGGCCUGUGAGGGUUGCUGGAGGUAUCAGAAGUGCGAAUGCUGACAUAAGUAACGAUAAAGCGGGUGAAAAGCCCGCUCGCCGGAAGACCAAGGGUUCCUGUCCAACGUUAAUCGGGGCAGGGUGAGUCGACCCCUAAGGCGAGGCCGAAAGGCGUAGUCGAUGGGAAACGGGUUAAUAUUCCCGUACUUGGUGUUACUGCGAAGGGGGGACGGAGAAGGCUAUGUUGGCCGGGCGACGGUUGUCCCGGUUUAAGCGUGUAGGUGUGUGUUCCAGGUAAAUCCGGUUCACUUUAACACUGAGGCGUGAUGACGAGGCACUACGGUGCUGAAGCAACAAAUGCCCUGCUUCCAGGAAAAGCCUCUAAGCAUCAGGUAACAUCAAAUCGUACCCCAAACCGACACAGGUGGUCAGGUAGAGAAUACCAAGGCGCUUGAGAGAACUCGGGUGAAGGAACUAGGCAAAAUGGUGCCGUAACUUCGGGAGAAGGCACGCUGACA